rnacentral:rRNA from 1 species
GACGUAGGAGGCGAGCGUUGUUCGGAUUCAUUGGGCGUAAAGGGUGUGUAGGUGGCGCGCUAAGUCGGGUGUGAAAUUUCGGAGCUUAACUCCGAAACUGCAUUCGAUACUGGCGUGCUUGAGGACUGGAGAGGAGACUGGAAUUCAUGGUGUAGCAGUGAAAUGCGUAGAGAUCAUGAGGAAGACCAGUGGCGAAGGCGGGUCUCUGGACAGUUCCUGACACUGAGGCACGAAGGCCAGGGGAGCAAACGGG